ACUUGGCUGGCUCAGUUGGCAGAGCACGUGAUUCUUGAUCUCAGAGUCAUGAGUUCAAGCCCCAUGUUGGGCU
rnacentral:tRNA from 1 species